UAGUUAAAAAUUCUUAUUUAUGUAUUUACAGCUUUAUAGCCUUAAUCCUUUCUAUUCCUUGACUCAGUUACUCAGCCUGAAGGUGGUGUCAUACUUUCCCCAUAUUUUUUCAGAGGCUGCUGGUUCCUCAAGUAUCAUGACAAGAGGAAUCCUCAUCUCCCAGCACUACAGAGUGGCCAGGAUCUGGAGCCAAGUACAGGAAAUCCUGGUUUUUGACAGAUACAAUAAAUAUUUAUUCUUUUGGA